CAAAGGUGAGCCAGUACAGGAUGGACCCGCGUCUGAUUAGCUAGUUGGUAAGGUAACGGCUUACCAAGGCGACGAUCAGUAGCCGACCUGAGAGGGUGAUCGGCCACAUUGGAACUGAGACACGGUCCAAACUCCUACGGGAGGCAGCAGUGGGGAAUAUUGCACAAUGGGCGAAAGCCUGAUGCAGCAACGCCGCGUGAGUGAUGAAGGCCUUCGGGUCGUAAAACUCUGUCCUCAAGGAAGAUAAUGACGGUACUUGAGGAGGAAGCCCCGGCUAACUACGUGCCAGCAGCCGCGGUAAUACGUAGGGGGCUAGCGUUAUCCGGAUUUACUGGGCGUAAAGGGUGCGUAGGCGGUCUUUCAAGUCAGGAGUGAAAGGCUACGGCUCAACCGUAGUAAGCUCUUGAAACUGGGAGACUUGAGUGCAGGAGAGGAGAGUGGAAUUCCUAGUGUAGCGGUGAAAUGCGUAGAUAUUAGGAGGAACACCAGUUGCGAAGGCGGCUCUCUGGACUGUAACUGACGCUGAGGCACGAAAGCGUGGGGAGCAAACAGGAUUAGAUACCCUGGUAGUCCACGCUGUAAACGAUGAGUACUAGGUGUCGGGGGUUACCCCCUUC
rnacentral:rRNA from 1 species